UGGAAUCGAGCGGCAGUCAUCCCUUUCAUUUUGAGCAGCGCACAUUGUUUUGAUUUUACCGGCACACAAGAAAGAACACCCCGUGACAUCACAGCUGCGCUUGUCAUUUCCCGACACCAGAUCUGUCUGAUAUGAAACCAGUGAUUCAGCUUUGUCUGCAACGGACCACUGCACCUGGGGCGACCAUUUCUGUACCUUAAUCUGUUUUCUGUGCCGGGCGUGGCGGCGGCCAUCGGCACCAGACAAAACACUGCAGUCAUCACUGCCAACCCUAGACAAACGAAAACCCUCUUCACCAAAGAAAAGACCCGAGCUGUUGCUGGUUUUGUCUGGAUUUGGGAUUACUCACUUCUGGGAAGAAGAAAAAAAGAACUCAGGAUGUCUGUUGAGUAUCCGUCUUUCCCCCUUUCCUUGUGGCUUUCUCUUUAAACACAGAUAACUGUAAGAGCUUACAAAUUGUCUCAUGAUUUAAUAAUUGCUGUUUGUAUUAAUGCAACACAUGUUUUACCUCUUUCAAGGCUUGCUAUGAUCUGCAGGAAUCCCUUUUGCUUGCCUGCUCUGUUGACAGUACACGUGUUGUUUUUUCUUCAGGAGCUCUUUAUACUUUAAUAUCCUG